GUGCCCGCUUGGGUGGCACACAUACUAAAAUUGGAAUGACGAGACGAGCGUGGCCCCUGCGCAAGGAUGACACGUACAGAGCGAUGUUUAAACCUUGGGU
rfam:Canis lupus familiaris chromosome 21, whole genome shotgun sequence.